GGUUAAGUUAGAAAGGGCGCACGGUGGAUGCCUUGGCACUAGGAGCCGAUGAAGGACGGGACUUACACCGAUAUGC
rnacentral:rRNA from 1 species